rnacentral:misc_RNA from 1 species
GGAGGGCAGCUCAUGCAUGACCCGCGCCCAAACCAAGCAACAACAAUCAAAAUAGAAACGGGAAACCUACGAAUGGCAAACAAGGUCAAGGAAGUCUGGGCUGCGGGCAAGGUGGUCGUCAACGGCUGGCUUGCCAUCCCCUCCGGAUUUUCCGCCGAGGUAAUGGCGCAAUGCGGCUUCGACAGCGUCACCGUCGAUNAGCACGGCGUGCAGGAUUAUCAGUCGAUGAUCCAGUGCUUCCAGGCGAUGCAGGCGCAUCC